rnacentral:rRNA from 1 species
UACAGAGGUCUCAAGCGUUGUUCGGAUUCAUUGGGCGUAAAGGGUGCGUAGGCGGCGCGGUAAGUCGGGGUGUGAAAUCCCUCGGCUCAACCGAGGACGUGCAUACGAAACUGCGAGGCUCGAGUAUGGAAGAGGGUCGCGGAAUUCCCGGUGUAGAGGUGAAAUUCGUAGAUAUCGGGAGGAACACCAGUGGCGAAGGCGGCGACCUGGGCCAAUACUGACGCUGAGGAGCGAAAGCGUGGGGAGCGAACAGG